ensembl:lncRNA
CCAGCUUCAAGGCCCACCCUCUUUGCCAAGCCCAUGGACCAAACUAGAGGAUAUAAUCAUUGAAUGGAAACACACUACCUUUGAAUAUAUAUUGUCACGCAUCAAGCACGGUUCCAUUCCCUGGUCUGACCAGAUUUCCUUCUAACUGGCAAUAUUUCACUGGCUUUCUACAAGAUGGGUCAACCAUCGAGAUGGGUUUGGGGGGUCCUUCUGUGCCUUACCAUUUCUACAACUCCAGGUUCAUCUGCAGAUUCAGUAGACCCUGCCACGUUUUACACUACAACUCUGGCUUUGGCAAUCGAGAUCACCAAUGUGGGCUUCAAUGCCUCCCUGCAGAAUUGUCACUCAGAGUACUCCAAGUGGAUGGAUGCAGAAGUGAAAAUGCUGCUUGACGGCGUUUACAAAUGUAACGAUUGCGAUACAAAACUAACCUACGGAGGUGUUGAGUGCAUAACCUACAGGUAUUGUGACCCUCAAUUAUUAUGUUUUUGUCUGGCUAGCUUGGGUAUGCUGUAUUUGUUUUAUGCUUUGGUUCUAAUUAUAUAGCUCAUAUUUAUAGACAAAUCAUUACUUUUCAAUUACAAAAAUCAAUCACUGUCAUUUUGAAUUUCAUUAUCAUUAAAUGUUUUUAGAUUUAUUUAUUAUUUUUAUACUUCACAGAUCCGGACUGAUAGCUACCGCGCCUAUCAUCUUCAACACCGAUUCAAUCAACCCAUAUAUUGUCCGUGGAAUCUUUGGACAAAAUAUUGCAACAGCUCAACCCCAAACAAAACUCAUUGUGAACAAGGAAUACACAAUCAAAACACUGCCGAUCCAAUUAGAUAAAGAUGCGUGCAAGAAAAUAAGUACAACUACUGAGCCACCUAUAACUCCUGAACCAACGUCGACUCCUGAGCCAACUUCAACUCCUGAGCCAACCUCAACCUCUUCAACUCCUGAGCCAACUAAAACUCCUGAGCCAACUUCAACUCCUGAGCCAACUUCAACUCUGCAACCAACUUCAACUCCUUCAACUCCUGAGCCAACCACAACUCCUGAGCCAACUAUAACUCCUUCAACUCCUGAGCCAACUUCAACUCCUGAGCCAACUUCAACUCCUCCAACUCCUGAGCCAACUUCAACUCCUUCAACUCCUGAGCCACCUAGAACUCCUGAGCCAACUACAACUCCUGAGCCAACUACAACUCCUGAGCCAACUACAACUCCGCAGCCAACUUCAACUCCUUCAACUCCUGAGCCAACUUCAACUCUGCAACCAACUUCAACUCCUACAACUCCUGAGCCAACUGCAACUCCUGAGCCAACUACAACUCUGCAGCCAACUUCAACUCCUUCAACUCCUGAGCCAACAACAACCACUGACAAUACAGUGACCCCUGACCUGACAAAUAACCCUGACCCUACAACGACCCCUGACCUUACCAACGCCACUGACCCUACCAAUAACCCUAACCAUACAGCAACCCUUGACCCGGCCAAUGGUGGAGGAAUAUCUGUUUCUCCCAGUGGUGGAGAAAACCGUGACGAUAGAGACUGGGUGCCCGGAUGGGGCAUUGCCGUCCUGGUGUUAGCUGCAGCCAUCCUGUUGCUUCUCAUCAUCAUUUUUAUCCUUUUGGUUAGUAAUCCGGAAAAGUUAUUUAUUUUUUCAUUUUUGUAUUCUAGUAUAUUCUUUAUGUCUGGAAAUUCCGCCUUAGGUUAGAAAGCCAAAUUGAACCCUCCAGGAAGCAAUGCAUAAGCCUUUGUUGAAAUUACUUUGACCUAUUUUCAGUGCGUUCACCAUUGCCGCGAGCGCCCAUCAGAGGACCCCAUGGAGAAGAACACUGACCCAUACUAUGAGCAGAACGAGAUGCCUCCUCAGGAAACUGUGCCAGUACUCUAUCCAUCAUUACCGACAACAGCGCCCUCAAGUCCAAUGCAGGCACAGAUGGUGGUUGUAAGUACGAUUUGUGUUGGUAUUCCUAGAUUGUCAUAAUGAUGACUAGUUUGCAGCUUGGUUAAGA